CCCUUAGAUGUUCUGAACCGCACGCGUGUUACACUGAUGCAUUCAACGAGCUUUACCUUGGCCGAGAGGCCUGGGAAAUCUUUUUAGCAUGCAUCGUGAUAGGGAUUGAUUGUUGCAAUUAUUAAUCAUGAACGAGGAAUUCCUAGUAAACGCAUUUCAUCAAAAUGCAUUGAUUACGUCCCUGCCCUUUGUACACACCGCCCGUCGCACCUACCGAUUGAGUGGUCCGGUGAAGUCUCGAGAUUGUGGCAAUCUCCUUUAUUGGAGUUUGACUGCGAGAACUUGCCUAAACCUUAUCACUUAGAGGAAGGUGAAGUCGUAACA
rnacentral:rRNA from 1 species